rnacentral:lncRNA from 1 species
UGCGGUUUUGAGCAUGACAUUCGUGGUUGCCUGUGAAUGUAAAAUUGUGUCCGUUUCCUUCGCGUUGUGUUGAAUGGUACUUACGUUCACACUAUCUUCUUUAUCUAUUUGUGCAUUAUCCUUACAUAAACUCGUGUGAUGACGCUUAUGACAUUUUCUGCAUGUUUUAUUUGACUUACAAUCAACCAAGUUAUGAUGUCCUAAACAGUUGAAGCAUAGGCGGUCUCUUUUUACUAUUGACAUGCGGUCUUUAUAUUCAGUUACUUUGGUACAAUUUACCGAGGCGUGUGAUUCGUGACAAUAAUCGCACUGUUUAGAUUUGAAGUUAGUGUUUUGGUGAUUCUUAUUUUGGUGGCUGUGACUUGAUUGUCGAUUUCGCGGUUUUGUGUUGGUCAAAAAUGCUGCAGUAGCGGUAGGAUUUUCAUGACUGUCUGUUGAGUUACCGGCUUCCAUGAUAUUUAUUUCAUUAAAUAUGCCUUUUCGUAAGUCUGCUAAGCGUAUGUUUGUGGACCCAAAUUCUCUUGCUAGGUUUUUUCGAAUUUCCCCUGGUAGUUUGUUCAAUAUUAUUGGCACUAACAGCGCUCCGUAUGAAUCAUCAGUUUGUCCUAGUGAUUCUAAACCUCUUAUGUAAAUUUCAAUGUUGUCAUAAAAAUGUCGGAGGUUGAAAAGUGUGUACCUAGGCGACGUAAUAUCAAUAAGUUCCUGCAUAUACCUCUGUGUAAUUUUAUGUUGCUGACCAUAUCUUUCUUGUAAUAGGGAAAUUGCCUUUUCAUAGUUUGCAUUAGUGAGCGCAAAACCUGUCACUGAUUUUAGAGCUUCAUCGUGAAGUAACGAUUUCAAAUAAUUGAAUUUUUGGACGUUGCUUAAGGUUGGGUUCGUAUGCACGGCUGUCUCAAAUGAGUCCCAAAAUGAUUGCCAUUGAAGUAUAUCUCCAUCGAAAGUAGGGAGAUUCAACUUGGGUAGUUUGUUGUAUUCACUAGUUGAGCUAAAGGAUGGGCGAAAAUCUGACAAACGGUAAUUUGAAUUGUUCUGAUGUUCUGUAUAUGAAGAGUUUAUAGUAUGAACGGGUUGAGUAGUUUCUAUGCGUGGAGUAAAACUUUCUGCGUGUGUAUUCAACGCUGUAGUUUUGACUAAGAUAAAUUUGUUGACUUGACGAAUUUUACCUUCUAAGUUAAAUGCAUACUCAUCUGCUUCAACGAUCUCUGUUUCAAUAUCUCCGUCGUCCAGUUCCUGUACUAUGUCCUCAUCUAACUUGCGUAAUAUUUCUUGCUUCCGUUUCAGACUAUCCAAUAUGUUUGACAAAUCCUCCGUGUCCACGGUUCCAUCUUCUUCCUGUUGAACGUCUUCAAAUUUCUUUAUCAGUCUGGAAACUGCACUUCUAUGUCCUGCUCGUAUCGAACGUAGCUUCAGAUUCAUCCUGGUCUCGGUACCAAUAUCGUAGAGUGGUUGUAUCGGACACAAAUUAAGGCUUAGUAAAUAAGAACGUCUGCUUGCAAUGAUACAUGUAUUGAACUCUGAAAAGCUAACGUCACAACAACGGUGACGUCGUGUACAUAGAGAGCGGUAGCGGGAACACCUCAUGUGCAAUUCUUAACACACAC